rnacentral:rRNA from 1 species
CCGGAGGAAGGUGGGGACGACGUCAAGUCAUCAUGGCCCUUAUGUCCUGGGCUACACACGUGCUACAAUGGCCGGUACAGGAGCGCAGCGAAGCCGCGAGGCAAAGCGAAAUCGCAAAAAGCCGGUCUCAGUACGGAUUGGAGUCUGAAACCCGACUCCAUGAAGUUGGAAUCGCUAGUAAUCGCGCAUCAGCAUGGCGCGGUGAAUACGUUCCCGGGCCUU